AACGAACGCUGGCGGCAUGCCUAACACAUGCAAGUCGAACGAGACCUUCGGGUCUAGUUGCUCACGGGUGCGUAACGCGUGGGAACCUGCCCUUAGGUUCGGAAUAACUCCCCGAAAGGGGUGCUAAUACCGGAUAAUGUCUUCUGACCAAAGAUUUAUCGCCUUUGUAUGGGCCCGCGUUGUAUUAGCUUGUUGGUAGGGUAAAAGCCUACCAAGGCUACGAUCCAUAGCUGGUCUGAGAGGAUGAGCAGCGACACUGGGACUGAGCCACGGCCCAGAAUCCUACGGGAGGCAGCAGUGGGGGAUAUUGGACAAUGGGCGAAGGGCUGAUGCAGCAAUGCCGGGUGAGUGAUGAAGGCCUUAGAGUUGUAAAGCUCUUUUACCCGGGAUGAUAAUGACAGUACCGGGAGAAUAAGCUCCGGCUAACUCCGUG
rnacentral:rRNA from 1 species